rnacentral:rRNA from 1 species
CCCCGGGCUCAAUUCGGGCGCUGCGACAGAAACUGUUGGGCUAGAGUGAGUGAGAGGUGAGUGGAAUUCAAAGCGUAGCGGUGAAAUGCGUAGAGGUCUUGAGGAACAUCAGUGGCGAAGGCGACUAACUGGCACUACACUGACGCUGAGGUGCGAAAGCGUGGGGAGCGAACAGGAUUAGAUACCCUGGUAGUCCACACCCUAAACGAUGAGGACUGGCUGUGAGUGCUAUAGACUCAUUGGUAGAUGAAGCUAACGCGUUAAGAUCUCCGCCUGGGGAGUACGGCCGCAAGAGUGAAACUCAAAGGAAUGGACGGGGGCCCGCACAAGCGGUGGAGCAUGUGGUUUAAUUCGAUGCAACCGCAAGAACCUUACCAUCCCUUGACAUCCUUGACAACGGGCAUGAGAUGGACCCGUGCCUUCGGAACUGAGUGACAGGUGCUGCACGGCUGUCGUCAGCUCGUGUCGUGAGAUGUCGGGUUAAGUCCCGCAACGAGCGCAACCCCUAUCUAUAGUUGCCAGCACGUCAUGGGGGGAACUCUANNNNNNCUGCCGGUGAUAAGCCGGAGGAAGGUUGGGAAGACGUCAAGUCAUCAUGGCCCUUACGGGAUGGGAUACACACGUGCUACUAUGGUGCAUACAGAGGGUUGCCAACCCGCCAGGGGGAGCUAAUCUCAGAAAGUGCAUAUUAGUCAGGAGGGCAGUCUGCUAGUCGCCUGCAUGAAGUCGGAAUCGGUAGUAGUGGCGAAGCAGCAACGUCGCGGUGAAUACGUUCCCGGGCCUUGUACACACCGCCCGUCAAACCAUGAAAGUGGGUUGCUCCAGAAGUGGCUAGUCCAACCUUCGGGCAGCCGGUGACCACGG